GAAAACAUCCACGUCUGACGGCGAGGUCCUCACCUCGAAGCAGACCCGGGGAUGACGUGGAGCGAGUGCUUCAGGGAAGUGUUGCAGAUCGAUAAACCCGAAGGGUCCCACUCUGGUGUGAAACGGAGCUCAUGAUCACUGAUUUGCGGGUCCUGUGACAGGUAAGCGCCGUAACACGCAGAGCAUCCGGGAGCGUGCCCAGCACAGGUCCGUGGUAUUUUCUCAGCGAAGCCGCG